rnacentral:rRNA from 1 species
UACGUAGGGGGGCAAGCGUUGUCCGGAUUUAUUGGGCGUAAAGAGCGUGUAGGCGGCCAUUCAGGUCAGCUGUGAAAACUCGAGGCUCAACCUCGAGACGUCGGUUGAAACCGUUUGGCUAGAGUCCGGAAGAGGAGAGUGGAAUUCCCGGUGUAGCGGUGAAAUGCGCAGAUAUCGGGAAGAACACCCGUGGCGAAGGCGGCUCUCUGGGACGGUACUGACGCUGAGGAGCGAAAGCAUGGGUAGCGAACAGG